UUAAAUUGAAGAGUUUGAUCAUGGCUCAGAUUGAACGCUGGCGGCAGGCCUAACACAUGCAAGUCGAACGGUAACAGGAAGCAGCUUGCUGCUUCGCUGACGAGUGGCGGACGGGUGAGUAAUGUCUGGGAAACUGCCUGAUGGAGGGGGAUAACUACUGGAAACGGUGGCUAAUACCGCAU
rnacentral:rRNA from 1 species